AUGGCCGGGCAAGCACCCGAGUUCACGGAUUCCUUCGGCGUGCAGACCGACGACUACGGCGACUUCAUCCGCAUAGUCCGGCACCACGUGAUCGACUACUGCAGCGACAAGCGCGGCGACGGCAUCGUCCAGCCCGUGCUGCCGCCGGAGAAGGCGGUCCCGAGCAGCUGGUUCCACGUCGUCCUCGGAAACACGCCGGCCAGCUCCGUCACGCUCGCCAUACGCAUGGACAACCUCUACCUCGUGGGCUUCAGGACCCCGGCCGGGGUGUGGUGGGAGUUCGGCAAGGAGGGCGGCGCCCGUCUCAUCGCCGGCUCCACCUGGCUCGGCUUCGGCGGCCGGUACCAGGACCUCAUCGGCCAGAAGGGGCUGGACGCCGUCACGCUAGGCCGUGCCCAGAUGGCCGCGGCGGUCGACGUCCUGGCGAAGCAUGGCACCACCAACGCACUGGAGGAGGAGGAGGAGGGAGUCCACGCCGACCCGUACGCCGUGCCCAAGACCAUGCUGGCGAAGCUGGUGAUCAUGGUGUGCGAGGGGCUGCGGUUCCUCACCGUCUCCGGCAGGGUGGACAGGGAGUUCGACAUGGCGGAGGUGACCAUCACCGAGAUAGAGGGGAAGCAGGUGAACAAAUGGGAUAGGAUCUCGGCGGCGGUGUUCAAGUGGGCCGUCGACCCGACUGCUCCGUUCCCCGACCUGGUUGCGUUGGACGUCAGCAAUAAAACAGACGCGGAACGCAUCGUCGUGCUCGUCAAGGAUCAAACUACGCAUGAGGAGUAG
rnacentral:rRNA from 1 species